AUUGUCUAGUAAUUUGCAGUGAGGCAGUACUGGAUCCAGAAAAUGCUGUAGUGGCUGCAAAUGAGCAGGUGUAAAGGCCUAUUGAUGAAGGUGUUCAACCAUGCUCUACUUUGUUUAUAACAAAUCUAAGUCCAAAUUGCAAUGAAGAUGAACUGAAGCAAGUUCUAUCUCAGUAUCCUGGAUUCAGUAUGGUCAAGAUUUGGGCUAAAAGUCGAAUGCCAGUUGCAUUUGCUGAUUUUGAGGUAUGCAAACAUAAUGAUGCAACAUAUAAGCCUUUGUUUUGUUAGAUUUUUUAAAUGACCCAAGAAUCUUGUGAUUAGUGGAAUGCCAGUUGCAUUUGCUGAUUUUGAGGUAUCCAAACAUAA